rnacentral:lncRNA from 1 species
GUGUCUGUGGCGGUGGGAUCCCGCGGCCGUGUUUUCCUGGUGGCCCGGCCAUGCCUGAGGUUUCUCCCUCAGCCGCCCCUCUGCGGGCUCCCAGAAAUACUAGGCUUUAGAAUUUCACCAUAUGAAUUUUGGGAGAGAGGAGCACAGUUCAGCCCAUAACUAACACACGACGGAAUGAAGUUGAUAAUAGUGAGACCUUGUUGGUACAAGACUAUGUAACAUAACCUGCGCUUCUCAACAAAGAAUUGCUUUUCUGACUUCUGCACUCAACUACUCAACAUGAAGGCAAUAAGAAUGAAGACCUCUAUGUAUAAUAAUUGACUUCCACUUAAUAAAUAAGGUUACUUGGUACACUGGUCGACAAAACCUUGAAAUGUUGAUGUUUAAGGGCUGUUGAUUGCUGGCAGCAAAGAAGUCCAACUGUGCUGGUACCCGAGAUAGCGUCUCCACAUUUUCUUCCAGGAUCAUCACCUUUGUUCUAAAUAGCUCCCACAUAGUGUGAACAGAAGUCAUAUGUUUUAGAUUUUCUGCCUUGGCACCCAGGAAACCAGUAUGAUUGAGUAAACAUAUUAAACUUCCUCUGCAUUUCCAGCCUGAACAGAUGUUGAGUACAAGCUGAUCCACCUACGUUCAACCUGAGAGAGUCCACAUCCACAGACUGUUUCAUUUCCCUUUUUCAAUUUACAUAGAAGCAUAGAUUCUUGCUGGCAUAUACAAAUGCGCCAUUUAAGGCAAUCAAAAAUGGUUCCACAUCUCAUCUGAUUUCCACAAUUGUUGCUGUAACGAUGGACUACUGAGGAGAGAGACAAUUUCUCUGGCACAUCUUCCCACAUUUUAGCAACAUGUUCAUGGAGAGCCAAUAUUCAGUAAUUACAGCCCAAUUCCUCACAAUUUCACAAUUCGCUAACAAUAUGCAUUUUCACAAUGUAAAGCUGAUUUUCCUUUAACCAAAUCAAACAUGAAAAGAUAGCUGCAUGCAAUGGGCAAUCUAGAUCAUUAGAAGAUUGAUGUAAAAUUAGAGGACACUGAGACUGGAAUAGAUUGCAAACUUCAGGGAGCUCAGAAAACUUGUAAACUCUACAUUUUGAGGAAAUAUGUUGUCGAUGCUUUUGCAACUCUAUGCAGUAACUUAACAAAUAAAGCCUUAAAGUAACU